rnacentral:tRNA from 1 species
GUCUGCUAGCUUAAGGGUUAAAGCGUCCCCUCCACAAGCUAAUUUCAUUAAGUUGGUUUGUGAAGGUGAGAUUGUUGGUUCGAUUCCAACAGCAGACACCA